GUGCUCACUUAGGCAGCACAUAUGCUAAAAUUGGAACGAUACAGAGAAGAUUAGCAUGGCCCCUGCACAAAGAUGACACUUUAAAAUGUAAAAAAGAAAAAAAGAAA
rnacentral:snRNA from 1 species